CUAGCGACUUCAGAGUUUGAUCCUGGCUCAGGAUGAACGCUGGCGGCGUGCCUAACACAUGCAAGUCGAACGAAGUUAUUGCUGAUGAGGCUUCGGCGGAUGACGUAAUAACUUAGUGGCGGACGGGUGAGUAACGCGUGGGUAACCUGCCUUACACAGGGGGAUAACAGUUAGAAAUGACUGCUAAUACCGCAUAAGCGCACAGCUUCGCAUGAAGCAGUGUGAAAAACUCCGGUGGUGUAAGAUGGACCCGCGUCUGAUUAGCUAGUUGGUGAGGUAACGGCCCACCAAGGCGACGAUCAGUAGCCGACCUGAGAGGGUGACCGGCCACAUUGGGACUGAGACACGGCCCAA
rnacentral:rRNA from 1 species